rnacentral:rRNA from 1 species
GAGUUUGAUCCUGGCUCAGGACGAACGCUGGCGGCGUGCCUAAUACAUGCAAGUCGAGCGAACUUCUUUAGAGCUUGCUUUAAAGAAGUUAGCGGCGGACGGGUGAGUAACACGUGGGCAACCUGCCUGUAAGACUGGGAUAACUUCGGGAAACCGGAGCUAAUACCGGAUAAUAUAUAGUACCUCCUGGUACCAUAUUGAAAGUUGGUUUCGGCUAACACUUACAGAUGGGCCCGCGGCGCAUUAGCUAGUUGGUGAGGUAACGGCUCACCAAGGCAACGAUGCGUAGCCGACCUGAGAGGGUGAUCGGCCACACUGGGACUGAGACACGGCCCAGACUCCUACGGGAGGCAGCAGUAGGGAAUCUUCCACAAUGGACGAAAGUCUGAUGGAGCAACGCCGCGUGAGCGAUGAAGGCCUUCGGGUCGUAAAGCUCUGUUGUUAGGGAAGAACAAGUGCGAGAGUAACUGCUCGCACCUUGACGGUACCUAACCAGAAAGUCACGGCUAACUACGUGCCAGCAGCCGCGGUAAUACGUAGGUGGCAAGCGUUGUCCGGAAUUAUUGGGCGUAAAGCGCGCGCAGGCGGUUUCUUAAGUCUGAUGUGAAAGCCCACGGCUCAACCGUGGAGGGUCAUUGGAAACUGGGAGACUUGAGUGCGGAAGAGGAGAGUGGAAUUCCACGUGUAGCGGUGAAAUGCGUAGAGAUGUGGAGGAACACCAGUGGCGAAGGCGACUCUCUGGUCUGUAACUGACGCUGAGGCGCGAAAGCGUGGGGAGCAAACAGGAUUAGAUACCCUGGUAGUCCACGCCGUAAACGAUGAGUGCUAAGUGUUAGAGGGUUUCCGCCCUUUAGUGCUGCAGCUAACGCAUUAAGCACUCCGCCUGGGGAGUACGGUCGCAAGACUGAAACUCAAAG